rnacentral:misc_RNA from 1 species
AAAGUGCGAAAAGUAAUGCGAUUUGCAUCUUCUGUGAGUCAUCAAAUCUUUGAACGCAACUUGCACCAUACAUAGCAAUGUGUAUGGUAUGUCUGUUUGAGAAUCAUAAUUCCACUUUUGAACAAUCAACAUUUCGAUUGUUUUAAAUAGAAAACGCUAUUUCUUUGAUACACGUAUAAAGUAAUGGCACAUCUUUAUGUGAUCUCAAAUCAGACAAGAUCACCCGCUGAACUUAA